rnacentral:rRNA from 1 species
GAUGAACGCUGGCGGCGUGCCUAAUACAUGCAAGUCGAGCGAAUGGAUUAAGAGCUUGCUCUUAUGAAGUUAGCGGCGGACGGGUGAGUAACACGUGGGUAACCUGCCCAUAAGACUGGGAUAACUCCGGGAAACCGGGGCUAAUAUCGGAUAACAUUUUGAACCGCAUGGUUCGAAAUUGAAAGGCGGCUUCGGCUGUCACUUAUGGAUGGACCCGCGUCUCAUUAGCUAGUUGGUGAGGUAACGGCUCACCAAGGCAACGAUGCGUAGCCGACCUGAGAGGGUGAUCGGCCACACUGGGACUGAGACACAGCCCAGACUCCUGCGGGAGGCAGCAGUAGGGAAUCAUCCGCAAUGGACGAAAGUCUGACGGAGCAACGCCGCGUGAGUGAUGAAGGCUUUCGGGUCGUAAAACUCUGUUGUUAGGGAAGAACAAGUGCUAGUUGAAUAAGCUGGCACCUUGACGGUACCUAACCAGAAAGCCACGGCUAACUACGUGCCAGCAGCCGCCGUAA